UACUCCCUCAAUUUCUUUUUCUAAUCUUCCUGGGAUGCUUUCCUCUUUCAAAGAAGUCCUGGAAUCUUGUAAUUAGAUAGGAUUUGAGCCUUUGUGGUUUAAAUUUGGAGAUGACUCUUGAUAUGGCAAAUGGAAGAAGCAAAUCCAUGUAAUCGACCCAUGGCCCCACAUAAAUAUGUGCAAGGCUUUUUUGAGUUAUGCCUGUUGACCUUCUCAAUGGGUAUCUUUUCCUAAGUUCAUUAAGCCCUUGUUUGGAAGUGAUGAUUUUAAAAUCACUUACAGCCACUCAUUUUCAACCCCACAUUCCCAAAAAAAUAACACACAUUCUCCGAAAAAAAUCACUUUUCAAAAAAUCACUUUCACACAAGCUCUAAGGUGUAUCUGGUAUAUGAUUACUUUGUUCUUUUACCUUAAAAAAGGAGAGGAAAGCAUGCAACUGUCUUUCAGGUGACAUGUUGCUGUGGUUAUUAUUUUGCAUGCUUAAAGUAGUCAAAAUGACUUGAAUUUGUAUAUUUUUUUUUUAAGGGGCAGGGUGCUACAUUUUUUUAGACAGUGAGGUAGUUGUGGAGAGAUGCAGUGAGAAGGAAAAUUAUUUGGAGCAAGAGGAUUGACAGAACUGGAUUAGAGAAUGUUUUUAUGUAUUCUUACUCAUAAUUGGUAUUAAUGGACUUUGUAAAUGAAGCUCAUGGUCGAGGUUAACAGAUGCCUUAAUUAGGUGAUGUAACUACUCGCAUUGAGCUCCUAGCAUACCCAGAACAUUCCAUGACUUAAGUAGCGAUUUUGUUAUUGUCUUUGUAUCUGUAUGCUCACAUUUAGAAUUUCAAUUAUCGUGUUUUGGUAACAAUGGGUUAGAUGCUUAUUCAGGAGAGAGUAAGGAGCUAAUUAUUUAGUUUCGAUUUCCAAUGUAAUGUUUGGGAGAUGCAAGUCUUGGUGAGUACAAUUGUGGCCCAUUUUGUUAAACAAAACAAUGUCGUAUUAUUCAAUAUUCAAAAAGGAGUAUAAAGAGAUUAUAUUAUAAAUAAAAUGUAAACCCUUGACUGCAUCUUUAAUAAAGGAAGUUAUUAAAAUGCCCUUGAUGAAGAAAAUAAAUAACAUAAUAUCUCUUUAAGAAUUUAUCCUAAUCCUUGUUUGAAAACUGUAAGUUGCAUAAGAAUGUUUUCAGCCAAUACAGUUUAGACAUGUUUGAUCGAAAGAUUUUUGAAUAGCAAAUAUUCGGGCCUAUUUCAGUUUCUUGUCAUUGCCAUCUACAAACCCUAGUAUAAGUUGUCGAUUGUACGUCUUGAACUCUAUAUUUACCACCAAGUAGAUUUUAUUGUAUAGUCUACCUAUGUGUCCCUUACUUCCCUUUACUUAGAGAUCUUUUAUUUCACAGGACUUCGGACGUGUUUAAAUUAUCAUUCACAUGAUCUCGUAGAUUUAUACACUUGUGUUCAGUGUUCUUAUGGUGGGCAUGGUAUCAUUCCAUGGUUUCUCAUAGAUUCAUGUUGCAUACACAACUUUAUUCUCUCUUCUCGUGUAUUUAAUACUGUACAAAAGAGCCCAGUUGAAGCAAAAAUUUUAUUCUUUGUGUGUUUAAUAACUGUUAGUUUGCUGUCAUAGGAACGGUGUUAUCCAUCUUAGUGGUAUGCAUCAUGGACUCCAUUCCUUGUGGUUAAUCCGACAUUAUGAUGUAGAAAACAGUUCUCUUGAUUCCUCCUGCCUGAUUAUCCAAUAUUUCAGUGUUCUAGGAUAAUCCUGAAAUAUUCUUCUGUAUUCCUUUAUAGCAGUGUUUUGUAGUUAUCCUGUAAUCACCUAGUACUUUUUUCUCAUUUAUCUGAACGACUUAACAGGUUGGUGAUUUGGGGCUGUCGAAGGUAAAAUGUAAGACACUAAUUUCAGGGGGCGUGAGGGGAACUCUUCCAUGGAUGGCACCGGAGCUUCUUAAUGGCAGUAGCAGCCUUGUGUCUGAGAAGGUUGAUGUAUUCUCGUUUGGAAUUGUAAUGUGGGAACUUCUUACUGGAGAAGAGCCGUAUACAGACUUGCACUAUGGAGCAAUUAUUGGUACAACUCACAUUCCAAUUCCCUGUGUUACUUAACUCUUAUGGUGGUAUCGUGAGCAACACAUUGCGACCUUCUGUGCCGGAAUCUUGUGACCCGGA